UAGGCGUAAAGCGCGCGCAGGCGGCUAGAUAAGUUGGAAGUGAAAUCCUAUGGCUCAACCAUAGAACUGCUUCCAAAACUGUUUAGCUAGAGCCUGGGAGGGGAAGAUGGAAUUAGUAGUGUAGGGGUAAAAUCCGUAGAGAUUACUAGGAAUACCAAAAGCGAAGGCGAUCUUCUGGAACAGUACUGACGCUGAGGCGCGAAAGCGUGGGGAGCAAACAGGAUUAGAUACCCUGGUAGUCCACGCCCUAAACGAUGAAUGUUAGUCGUCGGGACUCUAGUAGUUUCGGUGAUGCAGUUAACACAUUAAACAUUCCGCCUGGGGAGUACGGUCGCAAGAUUAAAACUCAAAGGAAUAGACGGGGACCCGCACAAGUGGUGGAGCAUGUGGUUUAAUUCGAAGAUACGCGAAGAACCUUACCUAGCCUUGACAUAUUUUAGAACUCCGCAGAGAUGUAGAGGUGCCUUCGGGAGCUAAUAUACAGGUGCUGCACGGCUGUCGUCAGCUCGUGUCGUGAGAUGUUGGGUUAAGUCCCGCAACGAGCGCAACCCUCGUUCUUAGUUACUAACGGUUCGGCCGAGGACUCUAAGAAGACUGCCUUCGUAAGGAGGAGGAAGGUGAGGACGACGUCAAGUCAUCAUGGCCCUUACGGCUAGGGCAACACACGUGCUACAAUGGUUAGGACAAUGAGACGCAAUACCGCGAGGUGGAGCAAAUCUAUAAACCUAAUCUCAGUUCGGAUUGUAGUCUGCAACUCGACUACAUGAAGCUGGAAUCACUAGUAAUCGUAGAUCAGCUAUGCUACGGUGAAUACGUUCCCGGGUC
rnacentral:rRNA from 1 species